GUAGACCUAGCUCAAAUGGAAGAGUAGCUGAUUGUUAAUUAGACGGCCGUUCAAUCAGAUAUGUAGGUUCAAUUCAUAUGGUUUACA
rnacentral:tRNA from 1 species